ACGUGUGAGUCACUUUGGAAUCAGUUGACAAUAAAAACCCGAUACUACCCCUGAAAAAGUAGGCAUUUGCUUGCUUUAGCGUGUGAUCUCUUGUACACAUCUCUCGAACCGAAAUCUUGAAAAGCGAAGCAUGGCUUCACAAAAUGCAGAAGUUUCUCGUGGAGAGCUUGUCUGCCGAAAGAAGGAGUGUUAUCCUUUUGGUUAUUGUGUAGAAUUUGAUCGAAUUCAGAUCCCGAGAAGUUGGAAUUAAUGAUGAAAGUUUGGCGACCGGACAAUAGCUCUUCCGAAUUCUCUCAAUGUCCAGUCCAGAACUACUAUAAUUGCAAAUCAUUGGCCAAGAAAUAAAACAAUGGAUUGCUAUAUUAUUUUAAACCAAGGCAAACACAGCCACAAAGGAGACAGAGGAGAAUCAGUGGGCUCCAGUGAAUACUGCAGUGUACUUACAUGCAAAAGCUAUUGUUAGGAAGAAGCAGGAGAUCAUAAAUUCUGUAUAGUUCACUAUAUGUUAAUACAUGAGCAGCAAUCUUUUCAGUAGCUAUUAUCAUGGCCACCGCUUAGACCUAAAUAGCUUACUGGGUAUGUACAGGCAUGCAGCUCGGGGUGGGCUAGGUUGUGCUCCCACUCAACCACCAAAAGGCAGUCUUUUUUUAAUAUACUUACUUCCCAUAAUAUCUAUGACUGCACAUCCCCUCCACAGCUUAUCAGAUUGUUUGUUAUGGUUAUCAGACUUCACCUUUCCUUUUCUAGACAUACAAUGCCUUUAAUUAAAUAAUUUCUUUUGUUUAAUAAAAUAAGACUGAGUAA